rnacentral:rRNA from 1 species
AUUGAACGCUGGCGGCAGGCCUAACACAUGCAAGUCGAACGGUAACAGGAAGCAGCUUGCUGCUUUGCUGACGAGUGGCGGACGGGUGAGGAAUGUCUGGGAAACUGCCUGAUGGAGGGGGAUAACUACUGGAAACGGUAGCUAAUACCGCAUAACGUCGCAAGACCAAAGAGGGGGACCUUAGGGCCUCUUGCCAUCGGAUGUGCCCAGAUGGGAUUAGCUAGUAGGUGGGGUAACGGCUCACCUAGGCGACGAUCCCUAGCUGGUCUGAGAGGAUGACCAGCCACACUGGAACUGAGACACGGUCCAGACUCCUACGGGAGGCAGCAGUGGGGAAUAUUGCACAAUGGGCGCAAGCCUGAUGCAGCCAUGCCGCGUGUAUGAAGAAGGCCUUCGGGUUGUAAAGUACUUUCAGCGGGGAGGAAGGGAGUAAAGUUAAUACCUUUGCUCAUUGACGUUACCCGCAGAAGAAGCACCGGCUAACUCCGUG